CCCUACGGGGGGCAGCAGUGGGGGAUAUUGCACAAUGGGGGAAACCCUGAUGCAGCGACGCCGCGUGGGCGAAGAAGUAUUUCGGUAUGUAAAGCCCUAUCAGCAGGGAAGAAGAAAUGGCGGUACCUGAGUAAGAAGCACCGGCUAAAUACGUGCCAGCAGCCGCGGUAAUACGUAUGGUGCAAGCGUUAUCCGGAUUUACUGGGUGUAAAGGGAGCGCAGGCGGCACGGCAAGCCUGAUGUGAAAGCCCGCGGCCCAACCGCGGGACUGCAUUGGGAACUACCGGGCUGGAGUGCCGGAGAGG
rnacentral:rRNA from 1 species